GUGCUUGCUUUGGCAGCACAUAUAGUAAAACUGGAGCAUACAGAGAAGUUUAUCAUGGCCCCUGCAAAGGGAUGACAUGCAAAUUUAUGAAGCAGUCCGUAUUUUU